rnacentral:rRNA from 1 species
UCGGGAAUUUUGGGCAAUGGGGGAAACCCUGACCCAGCAACGCCGCGUGAAGGAUGAAGUAUUUCGGUAUGUAAACUUCGAAAGAAUAGGAAGAAUAAAUGACGGUACUAUUUAUAAGGUCCGGCUAACUACGUGCCAGCAGCCGCGGUAAUACGUAGGGACCAAGCGUUGUUCGGAUUUACUGGGCGUAAAGGGCGCGUAGGCGGCUUGACAAGUCACUUGUGAAAUCUCUGGGCUUAACCCAGAACGGCCAAGUGAAACUGUCAUGCUAGAGUGCAGAAGGGGCAAUCGGAAUUCUUGGUGUAGCGGUGAAAUGCGUAGAUAUCAAGAGGAACACCUGAGGUGAAGACGGGUUGCUGGGCUGACACUGACGCUGAGGCGCGAAAGCCAGGGGGAGCAAA